AGGUGGUCCUCCUUCUCGCCUUCCCCGCUACUUUUCAACACUGUUGGGGUCUUUUUGCUCGCAGCCUGGAGCCGGAUGGAAGCGCCUCCCGAAAACAAGGCUCCCUUCUCGGUCGUUUUCCUUGUUUCCAUUCCUCUCUCUCUCUCUCUCUCAGGGUUUGCCUUCGGUCGCCCUCCAUUCCGAGACUGGCCUUGGAGGCGCACAGCAAACAACCCAAGCGCACGCACAGCCAGAGCUACAGGGUUAAAGACAGGCAUUGGUCUCAGGAGGCUCAUGUUGGAGCAGCAGCGAUGGGGAGUGGGGUUGCCAUUUGCCUGGGAACACAUGGAAAAUCCCACAUUGAAGAAACUAAAAAAAUGUUUCAGCUGGUUGAGUUGAAACAGUAAAUCCUGGAUUUCUCCUUCAUCACAGGCUGAAGGGCUCCAGUUGCUAUUGCACGGGCAUAGCAUUGUCACCUUAUUCUUCUCUUCCACCCCUCCCACAUUCCUUCAGCAGGCUCAGAAGGUGGGAAAGGAAAGGAGGUGAGCAUAGACUGCCUUAUGUUGGGUGGUGAUUGUGUUGGCAGCUUGAGGCUAGGGUUAGGCAGCGAGGUGGAACUGCACUUCCAAACAGCCUCAAGAGAGUAUAGGUAGUCUCUUCACUCUCUGGGGCUGCUUGGAAGCCUCU